rnacentral:rRNA from 1 species
UAGAGUUUGAUCAUGGCUCAGGAUGAACGCUAGCGGCAGGCCUAACACAUGCAAGUCGAGGGGUAUAAAAGAGCUUGCUUUUUUAGAGACCGGCAAACGGGUGCGGAACACGUACGCAAUCUGCCCUUAUCACGGGGAUAGCCCAGAGAAAUUUGGAUUAAUACCCGAUAGUAUUAUAAUAAGGCAUCUUGUUGUAAUUAAAGCUAUGGCGGAUAAGGAUGAGCGUGCGCAAGAUUAGCUAGUUGGUGAGGUAACGGCUCACCAAGGCGACGAUCUUUAGCUGAUGUGAGAGCAUGAUCAGCCACACGGGCACUGAGACACGGGCCCGACUCCUACGGGAGGCAGCAGUGAGGAAUAUUGGUCAAUGGACGGAAGUCUGAACCAGCCAUGCCGCGUGAAGGAUGAAGGCGUUCUGCGUUGUAAACUUCUUUUAUUUAGGAAGAAACCACCGAUUUCUAUUGGUGUUGACGGUAUUAAAUGAAUAAGCACCGGCGGACUCCGUGCCAGCAGCCGCGGUAAUA